CCUAGAAAAAAUCUAAGGUGCAACCUGCCCAAUGGCUGCUAAAAAAUAACCAUAAACAGUUAAAAAGAAGCUUAAAGGACGCAGUAACCUGACUGUGAUAAAGUAGCAUAAUCACUCGCCAUUUAAUUGUUGGAUAGUAUGAAUGGUUAAACGAACCCUCCACUGUCUAAAAAAGAGAAGUCAUGAAAUUAGAAUAAUAGUUAAGAUACUAUUUAAAAUUGUAAGACGAAAAGACCCUAUAGAGCUUAACUAUACCUUCUUUUAAACCAAAAGAAAUUUCCCAAAACAGAGAAGGUGUUAGUUUAGUUGGGGCGACGGCCUUCUAAAAAUAACGAAGGCAAGCUAUGUUAAUAAAAUAAACUUAUUGUAUAAUAUAUAAAUUUAACAAUUACUAUAAUAGGCUAUAAUGACCCGUCAACAUCUAGUAAUAAAGUUGACAACAAAUAAGUAAAAGUUACCUUAGGGAUAACAGAAUAAUCUCGUCUUAGAGAUCCCAUCCGAGACAAAGCUUAUCACCUCUAUGUUGAAUUAAGAUAUCCCAGCGGUGCAAAAGCUGCUAACGGUAGGUCUGUUCGACCUUUAAAAU
rnacentral:rRNA from 1 species